rnacentral:rRNA from 1 species
GCGGCAGGCUUACACAUGCAGUCGCACGAGAACGCUCCUUCGGGAGCAAGUAAAGUGGCGCACUUGUGCGUAACGCGUAGACAACCUGCCCUUGAGCGGAGGAUAACCACGGGAAACUGUGGCUAAUACUCCAUAACGUCCGGAGCCCGCAUGGGGUCCGGAUCAAAGCCUUCGGGUGCUCAGGGAUGGGUCUGCGUCGGAUUAGCUCGUUGGUGAGGUAACAGCUCACCAAGGCAACAAUCCGUAGCUGGUCUGAGAGGAUGAUCAGCCACACUGGCACUGAGACACGGGCCAGACUCCUACGGGAGGCAGCAGUGGGGAAUCUUAGGCAAUGGGGGAAACCCUGACCUAGCCAUGCCGCGUGGAGGAAGACACCCCUACGGGGCGUAAACUCCUUUUCUGCCGGAAGAAAACCCUGUUUUGCAGGGCGUGACGGUACGGCAGGAAUAAGCACCGGCUAACUCCGUGCCAGCAGCCGCGGUAAUACGGAGGGUGCAAGCGUUGUCCGGAAUCACUGGGCGUAAAGGGUGUGCAGGUGGGACCGCAAGUCAGGGGUGAAAGCCCACAGCUUAACUGUGGAAGUGCCCUUGAAACUGCUGUUCUUGAGUCCUGGAGAGGUUGCCGGAAUUCGUGGUGUAGCGGUGAAAUGCGUAGAUAUCACGAGGAACACCAGAGGCGUAAGCGGGCAACUGGACAGGUACUGACACUGAGGCACGAGAGCGUGGGGAGCAAACAGGAUUAGAUACCCUGGUAGUCCACGCCGUAAACGAUGAAUGCUCGCCGUUGUCCUGUUAGGGGACAGUGGCUAAGCUAACGCGUUAAGCAUUCCGCCUGGGGAGUACGACCGCAGGUUGAAACUCAAAGGAAUUGACGGGGCCCGCACAAGCGGUGGAGCAUGUUGCUUAUUCCAUGCCACGCGAAGAACCUUCCUAGCUCAACACUACCGGAUCGUUCCCAAAAAGACCCUCCCAAGGGCUGUAAUGGAGUGUUGCAUGGUUUCUCCCCUCUUGCCUGAAAAUUG